GUGCCAGCAGCCGCGGUAAUACGGAGGAUCCAAGCGUUAUCCGGAAUCAUUGGGUUUAAAGGGUCCGUAGGCGGCCCUGUAAGUCAGUGGUGAAAUCUCCCCGCUUAACGGGGAAACUGCCAUUGAUACUGCAGGGCUUGAAUUAUUGGGAAGUAACUAGAAUAUGUAGUGUAGCGGUGAAAUGCUUAGAUAUUACAUGGAAUACCGAUUGCGAAGGCAGGUUACUAUCAAUACAUUGACGCUGAUGGACGAAAGCGUGGGUAGCGAACAGGAUUAGAUACCCUGGUAGUCC
rnacentral:rRNA from 1 species